ensembl:lincRNA
AGACGGCGAGGGCGAGAAUGUCCUUGGGCUGGACUGGGGAAGUCCUGGCCCUUUAAACUCAAGGGGGAGGAUCCGGAAGUGGAUGGGCGGGGCAAAGGGCUCUGGUUUAUAAAGGGGCCCAGCCGCGCGGGGUCUCCAAUCUGCCAUUUUCUGUCCCUGAAUAGGUCUCUGGCGUCCCCAAUUCCCUGUUUUCCUCACAGACUCUAUUCCGCCCGUUGGUCCACCACCUCAGGGGAACGAUGGCCGCAGAGUCCACAGCCACUGCCGCCAUCGCUGCGGAGCUGGUUUCCGCCGACAAGAUUGAAGAAGAUGCUCCUGCUCCUUCUACCUCUGCAAAUAAAGUUGAGAGGUAAGAUUAUUUACAGAGUACAGUUAGAUUUAUGUCUGGAACAUAAACUAAGAACUAUAUAAUUUAAGGGCAAUAUUACUUUUAUUUAUUAAAGAUCUUAUUUGUUUGAUAGAGCACAAGCAGGGAAGCAGUGGGCGGAUGGGAGGAAGAAGCAGACUCCCUGCUGAGCAGGGAUCCUGAUGUGAGUCUUGAUCCCAGGAUCCUGGGAUCAUGACUUGAGCCAAAGCCAGACAUUUGACUAACUUGAGCCACCCAGGUGCCCCAAAGGGCAGUAUUAUUUUUAAUAGAUAACAGUUAAGACCGAAUAUUAAGAUACUUGUAUGUAAUUUAAAGUGUGGAAUCCUGAUAAUGAUGUCUUCAGGUUUUUCACAUUUGAUUAAAAUACUAGACUUGAAAGUUAGUUCUGCUCCUUACUUAUUACAUGCCUGGCAAAUGCUAACCUGUUCUUUCUUUGAAUACUUCUACUGACUUAGAUCUCUAUUUUAGAAGGUUGCCACUUUCAAUUUUAUGUUAUUCUAGUUUAAAAGUUUUAAAUUUUAUAUUGGGCCCACAUCUACUUCUGCAUAAACUUCCUUGUCUUGAUAUGACUGUGGUUCUUAACCAGAGGUAAGCUUAAAUGGUUGUCCGAACUAUUUGGAUGCUUAUUCAAAAGGUAGAUUUAUGGGUUGCAUCUCUAGAGAUUUUAUUUGUUAAGCUUAAGAUAGAAUUCAGGCUUGUGUGUUUUUUAGAAAAAACUUCCUGAUAAUUCCUAAGUUCACUUAGGUUGACAAUCACUGUUUUUAUUUUUAUUUUUAAAAAAGAUUUUAUUUAUUUAUUUGACAGAGAUCACAAGUAGGCAGAGAGGCAGGCAGAGAGAGAGAGA